UCUCCACCUGCAGGAUGAUUUUCCGUGGCACGGCCUUCCUCAGCCAAAUAAAUCUCUCGCCUUGUCAAGCAAAAGAUUAGUGAUCUCGUGCAAGAUCUAAAUGUUACCAGUGAUGAUGGCUCUACAGAAACGAACAACUGCGAGCACUCAGAUUCUUCAUUUACGAAAUGUUCAACCAAUUCGACCAUGUCAGAUGCAGUUUUGCUUGGAAGGGAGCUGGUAUAUUUGUAAUUGAUGUGUAUGAUGGCAUGUCUUCUGAAUGCAAGCUUCGUCUCAAUAGGAGAUCCUCCAACUUCAGUGUAUUGAAGUUUGACGGAUUGGAGAAUCAGAUGGUAGUCGCUGGAGAUGCAAGGAACUCCCAUGCUUGCAGCGAUGCACUUGGUGGGCAUUCCUUGCAUUUGUCCUGUAGAAUCACGCGGGUACAUGUAUUUAAUUAUAGCAAAGUCACCAUGUCUUUAUCAUGCCAGUAUGCCAAUGCCCAGAAAUUAGAUAACAGAGGGAAGUCACCAGCUCUGAAAGCAUACCAAAUAUUUCAGUUUUUAGGCCACUGCUCAAUUUUGAAGAGCUACUCCUUUGAACUAGAUAUGUGAGCUUUUUGUAAACUACAGGAUAUCAUAGUUUGCUAACUGGAAAAAGAACUCUUUGAUGUUGGGCAUAUCCUGUAGUACUUAAAUCAUUAUUUUUUUACACAUGUGAUGCAAAUCUUAUUCGUUUAGAAAAAUGGUGAAUCUACAGGAUUGGUAUGAACUCAGAAUACAAAUUUUGGGACAUCUAUUAACAUUGAAAGAGAAUGAAUGUGAAGACAAUAUGUGUGCUGGUGUCCUGGGAUUCAUCAGUUGUAUCAGGAAAACCAAAGUAAAACAGGUACUCAGAUUUUUUUUAUUCUACAUUUUCCAGAUAUAGCAAAGGUUGUACCACAGAAAGUAUCGUGUGUGUGGCUGACACAAACUCCAAAUGUGGCACCUCUUGUCAAAAGUUCACUGUAUGAACGAGGAUCAUGUAUUUGCUUUGAUCUCAACCUUUGGAUGCAGUUAGAAGGUUUCAUCAUAACAAAAAUUGUUAGUUUUUGUAAAUUAACCUCACCAUUUUGAUGAUUGUAGGACAUCAUUGUUCUCCAAUAUGAAACUAUAGAGAAGGGACCUGACGUACAUUUGUGUAACACAGUUCAGUAAACACGUCUGGAGACUAUUUCUUCUUCGAGAUUGAUUUACUUGGUGGUGCUAUUGCCCAUUUCCUCUUAACAAGACAUGUGUGAUGUUCCAGAAAAGGAGCUUAUGUGUUGUCUGGUAGCCUUGAUGGUAGUUUUAUACAUGUAGCUGAGGAAAGUGUG